UAAGGAAUAUUGGACAAUGCCCGCAAGGGUGAUCCAGCCAUGCCGCGUGCAGGAAGACGGCCCUAUGGGUUGUAAACUGCUUUUACACCGGAGAAAACCUCCCCUCGUGAGGGGAGCUGAUAGUAUGGUGAGAAUAAGCAUCGGCUAACUUCGUGCCAGCAGCCGCGGUAAGACGAAGGAUGCAAGCGUUAUCCGGAUUCAUUGGGUUUAAAGGGAGCGUAGGCGGCCUUAUAAGUCAGUGGUGAAAUCUCCGAGCUUAACUCGGAAAUUGCCAUUGAUACUGUAGGGCUUGAGUACAGUUGCUGUGGGCGGAAUAUGACAUGUAGUGGUGAAAUACAUAGAGAUGUCAUAGAACACCGAUUGCGAAGGCAGCUCACAAAACUGUAACUGACGCUGAGGCUCGAAAGUGCGGGGAUCAAACAG
rnacentral:rRNA from 1 species